rnacentral:rRNA from 1 species
CAGUCGCCGCGGUAAUACGAGGGGGGCAAGCGUUGUUCGGAAUUAUUGGGCGUAAAGGGUGCGUAGGCGGCUUGACAAGUCUUGUGUGAAAUCUAUGGGCUCAACCCAUAGUCUGCACGGGAAACUGUCGGGCUUGGGAAUGGGAGAGGUGAGUGGAAUUUCCGGUGUAGCGGUGAAAUGCGUAGAUAUCGGAAGGAACACCUGUGGCGAAAGCGGCUCACUGGACCAUUUCUGACGCUGAUGCACGAAAGCUAGGGGAGCAAACAGGAUUAGAUACCCGCGUAGUCCCUGUCUCUUAUCC